GGUCCAACACCUCUGUAUCUCUUCAACCAAGCAGAAAGGUCCAACACCUCUGUAUCUCUUCAACCAAGCAGAAAGGUCCAACACCUCUGUAUCUCUUCAAACAAGCAGAACGGUCCAACACCUCUGUAUCUCUUCAACCAAGCAGAACGGUCCAACACCUCUGUAUCUCUUCAACCAAGCAGAAAGGUCCAACACCUCUGUGUCUCUUCAACCAAGCAGAACGGUCCAACACCUCUGUAUCUCUUCAACCAAGCAGAAAGGUCCAACACCUCUGUGUCUCUUCAACCAAGCAGAAAGGUCCAACACCUCUGUGUCUCUUCAACCAAGCAGAAAGGUCCAACACCUCUGUAUCUCUUCAACCAAGCAGAAAGGUCCAACACCUCUGUGUCUCUUCAACCAAGCAGAAAGGUCCAACACCUCUGUAUCUCUUCAACCAAGCAGAAAGGUCCAACACCUCUGUAUCUCUUCAACCAAGCAGAAAGGUCCAACACCUCUGUGUCUCUUCAACCAAGCAGAAAGGUCCAACACCUCUGUGUCUCUUCAACCAAGCAGAAAGGCACCUCUGUAUCUCUUCAAACAAGCAGAAAGGUCCAACACCUCUGUAUCUCUUCAACCAAGCAGAAAGGUCCAACACCUCUGUAUCUCUUCAACCAAGCAGAAAGGUCCAACACCUCUGUAUCUCUUCAACCAAGCAGAAAGGUCCAACACCUCUGUGUCUCUUCAACCAAGCAGAAAGGCACCUCUGUAUCU